rnacentral:rRNA from 1 species
GAUGAACGCUGGCGGCGUGCCUAAUACAUGCAAGUCGAGCGAACGGACGAGAAGCUUGCUUCUCUGAUGUUAGCGGCGGACGGGUGAGUAACACGUGGAUAACCUACCUAUAAGACUGGGAUAACUUCGGGAAACCGGAGCUAAUACCGGAUAAUAUUUUGAACCGCAUGGUUCAAAAGUGAAAGACGGUCUUGCUGUCACUUAUAGAUGGAUCCGCGCUGCAUUAGCUAGUUGGUAAGGUAACGGCUUACCAAGGCAACGAUGCAUAGCCGACCUGAGAGGGUGAUCGGCCACACUGGAACUGAGACACGGUCCAGACUCCUACGGGAGGCAGCAGUAGGGAAUCUUCCGCAAUGGGCGAAAGCCUGACGGAGCAACGCCGCGUGAGUGAUGAAGGUCUUCGGAUCGUAAAACUCUGUUAUUAGGGAAGAACAUAUGUGUAAGUAACUGUGCACAUCUUGACGGUACCUAAUCAGAAAGCCACGGCUAACUACGUGCCAGCAGCCGCGGUAAUACGUAGGUGGCAAGCGUUAUCCGGAAUUAUUGGGCGUAAAGCGCGCGUAGGCGGUUUUUUAAGUCUGAUGUGAAAGCCCACGGCUCAACCGUGGAGGGUCAUUGGAAACUGGAAAACUUGAGUGCAGAAGAGGAAAGUGGAAUUCCAUGUGUAGCGGUGAAAUGCGCAGAGAUAUGGAGGAACACCAGUGGCGAAAGCGACUCUCUGGUCUGUAACUGACGCUGAUGUGCGAAAGCGUGGGGAUCAAACAGGAUUAGAUACCCUGGUAGUCCACGCCGUAAACGAUGAGUGCUAAGUGUUAGGGGGUUUCCGCCCCUUAGUGCUGCAGCUAACGCAUUAAGCACUCCGCCUGGGGAGUACGACCGCAAGGUUGAAACUCAAAGGAAUUGACGGGGACCCGCACAAGCGGUGGAGCAUGUGGUUUAAUUCGAAGCAACGCGAAGAACCUUACCAAAUCUUGACAUCCUUUGACAACUCUAGAGAUAGAGCCUUCCCCUUCGGGGGACAAAGUGACAGGUGGUGCAUGGUUGUCGUCAGCUCGUGUCGUGAGAUGUUGGGUUAAGUCCCGCAACGAGCGCAACCCUUAAGCUUAGUUGCCAUCAUUAAGUUGGGCACUCUAAGUUGACUGCCGGUGACAAACCGGAGGAAGGUGGGGAUGACGUCAAAUCAUCAUGCCCCUUAUGAUUUGGGCUACACACGUGCUACAAUGGACAAUACAAAGGGCAGCGAAACCGCGAGGUCAAGCAAAUCCCAUAAAGUUGUUCUCAGUUCGGAUUGUAGUCUGCAACUCGACUACAUGAAGCUGGAAUCGCUAGUAAUCGUAGAUCAGCAUGCUACGGUGAAUACGUUCCCGGGCCU